rnacentral:misc_RNA from 1 species
UGGAGAUACAAUCUUCACAUUGAAAUGUGUUUCUCCAGCGCUGCCUUUCACAGCCGCAUGCCCAGCGUGUUGGUGGGAAACGUCCUCGAUUUCCAAAAAACUCGCUGAUAGUGCUGAUUGCAACUUCGUCUUCAUCCUAUUAGCCCUCGAUAGCACCACGUUUGCCCCUCUUGAAGCCAUACUGUUCGAUAAAAUGUCUGAACAAUCCCCUGCGAUUCCGGCGUUACUCGAAGCAGCCCCCUCG